GUGUCAGCAGCCGCGGUAAGACGAGGGAUCCUAGCGUUGUUCGGAAUCAUUGGGCGUAAAGCGGGUGUAGGUGGCUUUGUAAGUCAGGUGUGAAAGCCUAGGGCUCAACCCUAGAAGUGCAUUUGAUACUGCGAAGCUUGAGUGCUAGAGAGGUUACUAGAAUUGUUGGUGUAGUGGUGAAAUACGUAGAUAUCAACAGCAAUACCGGUGGCGAAGGCGGGUAACUGGCUAGACACUGACACUCAGACCCGAAAGCGUGGGGAUCAAACAGGAUUAGAUUCCCUGGUAGUCCACGCCGUAAACGAUGGAUACUUGUUGUUAGAGGUAUUGACCCCUGUAGUGACGAAGCUAACGCGUUAAGUAUCCCGCCUGGGGAGUACGGUCGCAAGAUUAAAACUCAAAUGAAUUGGCGG
rnacentral:rRNA from 1 species